ensembl:lncRNA
UUUGUAUGGUUAAAUGAAAACGAAGCCCCCUCACCCCAAACAAUAAUAUUUUCUAAAACCAGCACACAAAGCUCAUGGUUUGCUUCCUUGCACCUGCCAGUUUGGGAACCUAUUAAAGCCACCCUGGAAAUUCUCCUUUCUUUGUGCAAUAUUUUAUGCUUUUCUUCUCUUCAGGGCAGAUUGGUUCUGCCUGCACUUUAUUCCUGAACCCACGUUCAUUCGAAAUGGAUUGGCAGACUUAAAUGCUCCAUCCAGUGCGCUGCUGCUGACUAAUAAUACCCCUCCCCCACCGCGGGUCCCAACCCAUCACACCCAGCAAUCGAGUGCGCGCUCUCUCUCUCCUCUUCCUCUCUCUCCCUCUGAUCCCCCCUCUCUCUCUGUCUGUCUCUCUCUCUCAUACACACAGACACAGACACAUACACUCACUCACAGGCACCGGUGGCCCUAUUGUCAACAAAGAAUGCAUAAUGGUUGGUUUCUUCUGCUACAUCAGUGUAUAGAGAAGCUGAACAUUUCAACCCCUUGCCGCAGUGACAGGUGACGAGUCUGAUUGUUUGCUGAUGUUGAUUUGGAAUGUUGAUGCUUCAGGAAAAAAGAACUCCAUCGAACAGACAAUCUGCACAGCUCACGAACUACAUAAAGAGCAUUUGCUAUAAAUAAAGUGUCAACCGGGCGCUGCA